rnacentral:rRNA from 1 species
GAUGAACGCUGGCGGCGUGCCUAAUACAUGCAAGUAGAACGCUGAAGGAGGAGCUUGCUUCUCUGGAUGAGUUGCGAACGGGUGAGUAACGCGUAGGUAACCUGCCUCUUAGCGGGGGAUAACUAUUGGAAACGAUAGCUAAUACCGCAUAAGAGUAGAUGUUGCAUGACAUUUGCUUAAAAGGUGCAAUUGUAUCACUACCAGAUGGACCUGCGUUGUAUUAGCUAGUUGGUGGGGUAACGGCUUACCAAGGCGACGAAACAUAGCCGACCUGGGAGGGGGAUCGGGCACCCUGGGACUGGGACACGGCCCCGGCCCCUACGGGGAGGAGCAGUAGGGGAUCUUCGGGAAUGGGCGGAAGUCUGACCGAGCAACGGCGCGGGAGUGAAGAAGGUUUUCGGAUCGGAAAGCUCUGUUGUAAGGGAAGAACGAGUGUGGGAGUGGAAAGUUCACGCUGUGACGGUAUCUUACCAGAAAGGGACGGCUAACUACGUG